rnacentral:tRNA from 1 species
GGGGCGUAGCUCAGUUGGGAGAGCGCUUGAAUGGCAUUCAAGAGGUCAUGGGUUCGACUCCCACCGUCUCC